AUGGUACCAUUUCCCAUUCUGUGGGGCUGGGUGCUCAUGGCCACCGUGACAACAGAUGCCUCAGCAAGCUUGGUGGAGCAAAGGCCCAGGUGGGUCCUGGUACCUCGUGGCCAAGCUAAAACCCUGCAGUGCAUCCUGAGGGAUUCCCAGUACCCCUGGAUGAGCUGGUACCAACAGGAUCUCCAGGGACAACUACAGCUGCUGGCCACCCUGCGGAAUACCGGGGAUAAGGAGUUCGUAUCCCAUCCUGGAGCAGAUUACCAGGUGACACGGGUCGAUAACACGGAGCUGGGGCUGCACGUGGCCAACGUGACCCAGGGCAGAACCCUGUACUGCACCUGCAGCAAAGACACAUGUGUGGUGAACACCUGCGCGGCUCUAGAGGACAAGAAUGGUGAUAGGGAGCAGGGCUAG